rnacentral:tRNA from 1 species
AGGAACUUAGGAUAACACUUACAGUCCACGGGCCUUCAAAGCCCGUCGUGGGGGUGCAAGUCCUCCAGGUCCUG